UACAGAGGGGGCAAGCGUUGUUCGGAAUUACUGGGCGUAAAGGGCGCGUAGGUGGCCUUCUAAGUUGAACGUGAAAUCCCUGGGCUCAACCCAGGAACUGCACUCGAAACUUCUUUUCUUGAGUGCCGGAGAGGAAAGCGGAAUACCUGGUGUAGAGGUGAAAUUCGUAGAUAUCAGGUGGAACACCAGUGGCGAAGGCGGCUUUCUGGACGGUAACUGACGCUGAGACGCGAAAGCGUGGGGAGCAAACAGG
rnacentral:rRNA from 1 species